rnacentral:rRNA from 1 species
AUUGAACGCUGGCGGCAGGCCUAACACAUGCAAGUCGAACGGUAACAGGAAACAGCUUGCUGUUUCGCUGACGAGUGGCGGACGGGUGAGUAAUGUCUGGGAAACUGCCUGAUGGAGGGGGAUAACUACUGGAAACGGUAGCUAAUACCGCAUAACGUCGCAAGGCCAAAGAGGGGGACCUUCGGGCCUCUUGCCAUCGGAUGUGCCCAGAUGGGAUUAGCUAGUAGGUGGGGUAACGGCUCACCUAGGCGACGAUCCCUAGCUGGUCUGAGAGGAUGACCAGCCACACUGGAACUGAGACACGGUCCAGACUCCUACGGGAGGCAGCAGUGGGGAAUAUUGCACAAUGGGCGCAAGCCUGAUGCAGCCACGCCGCGUGUAUGAAGAAGGCCUUCGGGUUGUAAAGUACUUUCAGCGGGGAGGAAGGGAGUAAAGUUAAUACCGUUGCUCACUGACGUUACCCGCAGAAGAAGCACCGGCUAACUCCGUGC